rnacentral:rRNA from 1 species
UACGGAGGGGGCAAGCGUUAUUCGGAAUUAUUGGGCGUAAAGGGCGUGUAGGCGGCUUCGUGUGUCCCACGUGAAAGCCCUCGGCUCAACCGGGGAACUGCAUGGGAAACUGCGGAGCUUGAGUCCGGGAGAGGAGAGUGGAAUUCCCAGUGUAGCGGUGAAAUGCGUAGAUAUUGGGAGGAACACCGGUGGCGAAGGCGGCUCUCUGGACCGGCACUGACGCUGAGACGCGAAAGCCAGGGGAGCAAACGGG